rnacentral:rRNA from 1 species
UACGUAGGGUGCAAGCGUUGUCCGGAAUUAUUGGGCGUAAAGAGCUCGUAGGCGGUCUGUCGCGCUGCUGUGAAAACUCAGGGCUUAACCCUGAGCUUGCAGUGGGUACGGGCAGACUAGAGUGCGGUAGGGGAGACUGGAAUUCCUGGUGUAGCGGUGAAAUGCGCAGAUAUCAGGAGGAACACCGGUGGCGAAGGCGGGUCUCUGGGGCAGUAAACUGACGUGAGGAAACGAAAGCCCGUGGGUAGCGAACAGGA